UACGUAGGGUGCGAGCGUUAAUCGGAAUUACUGGGCGUAAAGCGUGCGCAGGCGGCGCGUUAAGACAGGUGUGAAAGCCCCGAGCCUAACUUGGGAAUUGCGCUUGUGACUGGCGUGCUGGAGUGUGGCAGAGGGAGGUGGAAUUCCACGUGUAGCAGUGAAAUGCGUAGAGAUGUGGAGGAACACCGAUGGCGAAGGCAGCCUCCUGGGCCAGCACUGACGCUCAUGCACGAAAGCGUGGGGAGCAAACAGG
rnacentral:rRNA from 1 species